ACAAUUCUUGACCGAAAAUUGAUUAUAGACUAUAAAAUCGCUCAUUUAUGGAUUUCGGAUAAUUUUUGUUUGGAAUUUGGAAAAACUUCCUUCAGCAAAGUUGUAGAGAAUUGAAUUUCCUAUAAAAAUUCGCGAGAUUCGAAUUUUCUGACAAAAGGGCUAUUUAUCAUGAAAUAUUGAAGUUCCGGAGUUCCGAAAUAAUUGAUUUUUGGAAGUUUUAAUUAUUUUAUAUAAGAAAAACGUUUUUGUGGUUGUUGGCACAUGGGUGGCUGAUGUUUUUGACCAAAGAAGGCAUGCUAG
rnacentral:lncRNA from 1 species